GCGUUGGAGAGAGGACUGAGGCUCACACUAUCAGCACAGCUUCUCAAUGGGGGGACGCAGCCAAGAGCAGACAGAGCAGUCAUUCCAUUGGAGCCUUCCGCUGAGCGCGUGAGAAGGAGACGACAAGUGAGGGGGGGGUAAAUUAGCUCCCUGUCAUCACAACAUAGGAGUUCUACAGACGGAGAAGAGAAACAGACUGAAGAAAGGGGAGGACAAGAGAUCUGCUCGUAUGUGGCUGAUACAGCAGUGACAUGAUCAGCCUCCCAUCCCUCAAAUCCUGGCCAGUUUGUGACUUAGACCCCUGGGUGUUUUGCUUUUGGUGAGUGUUUGUGUUGCCACGGAUUUCAAAAGGAACUGAGCAGCGGGGGUCCAGAGGUGAGAAAAUUGGAGGAGAAAGAACAGCAUUUUACCUCCUUUUGUGUGGAGUUCGGCAUACCUGGUACUGGAAUUUUCAGGCGGGAAUCCCUGGCUUCAAAGUAUGGAUGGAUUUAAGACAGAGGCGUGAGUCUGCUGGGCAGGCAGGCGGUUUUUCUGAGCUCCUUUCCUCCUGAACACACUGCUCAGACUCGGCCUUACCAUGUCCUGGUUGUUGGCCAUGUGGAUUAGCCUUGGCUUCCUGCUACUGUGCCAGGCCACACUCUACCAGACCAUCCAGCAGCACCAUGUGGCCCGGCCCGGUCGCACUGACAUUCUCACCCUGGGGGCUUAUCGUUGGCCGUCAACAAAGCUCUUUCUGAACAGUGAUCCGGGCUAUCCAGCCUCUCUAGAAAUCCUGACGUCCUCACUACCCAGGGGAAUGUUUCAGGAAAGGAGCAUGAGAGAGGGAGGUACAUGUGAGGUGAUUGCUGCCCACCGAUGCUGUAACAAGAAUCGUAUUGAGGAGCGCUCUCAAACAGUCAAGUGCUCCUGUUUACCGGGGAAAGUGGCUGGGACGACACGCAACAAACCCUCCUGUGUGGAUGCGUCCAUUGUAAUCGGGAAAUGGUGGUGUGAGAUGGAACCAUGUCUGGAGGGAGAAGAGUGUAAGACUCUGCCUGACAACUCUGGAUGGAUGUGCUCCUCUGGGAACAAAAUCAAGACCACAAGAAACACCCAGCCAUACUCCCCUUUUUAGCUUCCGGAAGCAAAAUGCAGAGGAUGCAUCAACAGAAAUUGAGCUGCAUUCUUGCUUCUGUAAAGAUUCAUCCCAGGACCUAACAGAGAGCUCCCAUUGCAGAGCUGCGUGCCAGGCUCUUCCCCUCUUCCCCCUUUCUCUUCCCACUGAACGGACAAAAACUAUUACAUCCGCAGCUACCGACUGGAUUACCUGGGACCACAGAAAGGAUAUCCACCCAGAUAAAACAGCUUUGCUCACGUGGUGCCAAGGAUUUGAAACCAGACUAAUCCCCUGUUUGAUCAAUGAGCCCCAUGUUGGUGACUCUCCUCUUCCGCACAGCUGUGGCCAGUUUCCGACCUACUCUUUCUCUGUUUCCCUCAACCUGUUCCCCCCUCUAAAACUGAAACAGCUUAGAAGGGGUUAUUUAGGGGUUGUUAACAUUACUUGAUAGAUACUCGUUCCCACCGGAAGGUAAACCAGUUGAGGAGCUUACAUGGACCUGAACAUGAACACAGAACUGAGGGCGCAAGGAGGGAAAUGACAUUGCUACCCUUUUAUUUCUGUGUGGAAGGCAUUUGUAUGUGACCCGCUACCCCAGCAGGACGGCCUUGGACUACAUGGAGGAGAUUUUGUUGAAAAAAGCUGGAUUUUUUUAGUGAAGUAGACCACUUAUACUGAGUUAAUGAAAAAUCUUUGAGAGGCUGUAGGGUCUGUCCUCACGGCCUCACCUUCCUCCUUUGUGAUGGACAUUUUGACUUUUAUUCGAGGGCAUGCCCGGUGUAAAUUCAUGAGCACUUCUUUUCUUUGUUAUGUAAGAUAAUUUGUGUAUAUAUACAUAUAUAAAUACAUGACAUAUAAGGUGACAGAUCCAAGAAGCUGAAAAACAUAUUUAGGACUCUAGUAGGAGCUUGAGCCCCAUGGUGGAAUAUUGAUCAGCCACUGACUACAGUAGUACAGUUUAUCCAGAGGCUGAUGUCCCAGUAUGGUGUGUAUAGCAUUAUAUGCUUGCAUUGGAAAAAGCCACAACAGAGUCAUAAAAAUAAGUAUUGGUCACUUUUGUCAUUCAGCAAUGUCCUUGGUUAAGUCAGAAAAUGCUUGUAAAAAUGAGGAAAACACUGUAUAGAACUGCCUCACAAAAGAAAGCAGCACUAACAACAACCCCUGAGCCUUCAACUCAGACACAUUAGGGACAUGAAACAGCAGCAGAAAAACUUGGACCAUAAUCGGACAGUUAGUGUCUAUUUCUGUUGUGGACGGUGUUCACGGGCGACUGCUUGACUGUGUUUCUUGUGUAGAUCACCCUCUCACACACCAGAGAGAGAUGAUUUAUUCAAAAGAACAGUGAGAAAGUAGUAGUCACAAUGGAGAAACAUACAGUUAUCCACCAGUAGAUAUAAGUACAUUACAGGACAGCCUUAUGAGAAAUAAAAAUGGUUUUCUAUACUGA